GACGAACGCUGGCGGCGUGCUUAACACAUGCAAGUCGAACGGAAAGGCCUCUUUCGGGUGGUACUCGAGUGGCGAACGGGUGAGUAACACGUGAGUAACCUGCCCUUGACUUUGGGAUAACUUCAGGAAACUGGGGCUAAUACCGGAUAGAAGCUCCUGCUGCAUGGAGGGGGUUGGAUAGGUUCGGCGGUUGGGGUUGGACUCGCGGCUUAUCAGCUUGUUUGUGGGGUAGUGGCUUACCAAGGCUUUGCCGGGUAGCCGGCCUGAGAGGGUGACCGGCCACCUUGGGACUGAGGUACGGCCCAGACUCCUACGGGCGGCAGCAGUGGAGAAUAUUGCACAAUGGGUGGGAGCCUGAUGCAGCAGUGCCGUGUGCGGGAUGACGGCCUUCGGGUUGUAAACCGCUUUCGCUCAUGACGAAGCUUUGUGUGACGGUAGUGGGUAAAGAAGCACCGGCUAACUAGGUG
rnacentral:rRNA from 1 species